AAAAAAAAGGAAUAUAGUUGUUAGCAUCCUAAUUUCUUUAAUGAGAAGCAAAGCAAUCGUUCAUACAGCAGUGUUGAACACACAGCUAAACCGAAAAGAUGAAAAAACAGGAGAAAAAAUUAAAACCAAGAACAAUCAGCUAAAGAACCUCAGUUAUCAAGCACCUAAUAAUUCUGCAAUUCGCAUAAACAAAUACACGAAAUUCCAUUUUCAAGCCCCCAAUAAAAGGAACUUUCAGCAAGAACCUCUGCAUCAACCGAUUCAGAUGAUACCCAUUUCAGCUCAUUAGAUUUACAACUGAUUGAAGCUCCCAUCAGUGGGAGGUAAAGAGUGUCAAAAAAACUUUUUUUUAAAAAUAAAAUAAAGAAAGAAAAGUACCUCAAACUUGCGAAGACUGCGGCAUGUAAUAGAGAGAGGGGAAAGCGAUAAAAGUAGAUGGAUGAUUCUAUUCUUUGGAAGACAUAAGCCUAGAAUUCAGAGGUCAGAGGUCAGAGGUUUUUGAUUGUUUCUAUGUAACACACUGCACCAUAAUAUUCUUGGUUUUUUCGCCAAUUAAAGUUACCCCAUAAAACAAAUGCAAAGAAAAUAAUAAAAUAAAGCAUGUAGUUCCAUUGGGUGGGUGAGAUGUAAGUAGUGGUAAUGGAAUAUUUAUUGUGUCACUAUAAUAGAAUAUUAAGUAACAAGCACCAAUCUAGACU
rnacentral:lncRNA from 1 species